UACGGAGGGUGCAACCGUUGCUCGGAAUCAUUGGGCGUAAAGCGCACGUAGGCGGCCCGCUAAGUCGGAUGUGAAAUCCCUCGGCUCAACCGAGGACGUGCAUUCGAUACUGGCAGGCUUGAAUAUGGAAGAGGGUCGCGGAAUUCCCGGUGUAGAGGUGAAAUUCGUAGAUAUUCGGAGGAACACCAGUGGCGAAGGCGGCUCACUGGUCCGGUACUGACGCUCAUGCACGAAAGCGUGGGGAGCAAACAGG
rnacentral:rRNA from 1 species